UAAAGCCUCUCAGGGCCUCUCUUAUGCUUUUCUACCAUGGAUCCUGUUUUCCUACAAAGGACAGGGCUGUGCUUGGCCAUGCACUUGCCCAAGAAGGCAGUGCCUCCUCACAUAAUUCCUGGCGGGUCCUUCCUAAUCCCCUCCCCUGGUGAGCCUUGCAUCCUAGAAUUACAAAGGACCUCUCUCCAUUGACUUUUUGGGACUUCAUGAUGGACUGAGGCAUGUCAAACGGGUUUCGGCUGUGCCAAUACAGUGCGACUCCCCCCCCCCCCCGCCCCCCUGCCGCGCUGGCCUUCUUCGGGGGUCAGGAAGGAGCAUGUGUAACCAAAGAUCCCCAGCUGAUCAUUUUCUGCUUUGAGCAACAGCCUCCCAUCUACCCCUGGGGGUGCCCACACAAAUACGAUUUUGUAUGUGUGCCCUUUUGUGCAAGAUCUUGGGAAGCACGGCUUUGGGGGCAAAGACAGUGCCAUUCUUGGCCGUUUGGGAGAAAUGCAUCUGUUUUGUGCAGAUAAGAAAACAGUGGUUUGGCGUGUUUCGUUGCCUGGUGAAAUUACCCGGUGGUUCCGUCGCUUCCAGAUCAAUCUGAGCGUGAGCCAUCGGCAACCCGUGCACAGCGUGUGGCCGGCUGAAAAUGCAUCAUCUCUCGACGUGAAGCUCAGCUAUUUUUCUCCAGCUUGGGUUGUUGUGUUGCUUUCUGCUUCCGCCUACAGCCUCUUCACGUCCUCUUGGGGACGUGCUCGGUGACAUAGCACAGCUGCACACGCGGCCGUUCUUUUUCUUCCCGAAAUGAGGGGAAGGCUCUGUGGCUCCAGUGCCCUGUGACGCAGGCCGUCCAAGAGAUGUCACAGUACGACGGUCGGGACCCCCGUUUCGGCAGAGGUGGCACCACCCGUGCCUGAGGGUGAUGGUGACAGCUUACAGUAGGUGUCCGAUUGUGACACAUGAGUGAAAUGGAAGUCACAGUUCCUUUCGGGGGGAUUUACAAGCUGUCGACUGAACCAUCCGGGAUUCAUUCACAUUCUGCUGAGGUUUCGUGUUCUCUUCCUACGGGUAAUGAAUGAGGUGCGGGCAGCAUAGAGGGGUCGAAGCCAGAGCACAAUCCGUGGUCGGUAAAGUGCGCUCGGUCAACAAAUAUUUACGGGAGAUCUCUGUGUCGGGCACUGAGCCGUGUCCUGGGGUGCUUUACUCGGCAAGAUGGCGAGAAAAGUUAUUGUAAAGGCCCAAAGAAAUUCUUAUGAACAAAAGCUGGAGGUGUUUUGAAGUUACUUAGAGGUGGUUAUUUGAAGGAGAACGUGUAAGGCGUACCUGGGUGGCUCAGUCGGUUAAGCGUCUGACUUCAGCUGAUGUCAUGAUCUCACGGUUUGUGGGUUUGAGCCUCGAGUCAGGCUCUGUGCUGACAGCUCAGGGCCUGGAGCCUACUUCACAUUCUGUGUCUCCCUCUCUCUCUGCCCCUCCCCUGAUCACGCUCUGUCUCUCUCUCUCAAAAAUGAAUAAACAUUGGGUCGCCUGAGUGGCUCAGUCGGUUGAGCAUCCGACUUCGGCUCAGGUCACGACCUCGUGGUCCGUGAGUUCGAGCCCCGCGUCGGGCUCUGGGCCGAUGGCUCAGAGCCUGGAGCCUGUUUCGGAUUCUGUGUCUCCCUCUCUCUCUGCUCCUCCCCCGUUCAUGCUCUGUCUCUCUCUGUCUCAAAAAUAAAUAAAUGUUAAAAAAAUUUUAAAAAAAUGAAUAAACAUUAAAAUUUUUUUUAAAAAUAAGGGAAAAUGUAUAAUGGCGUCUGUCUUCCGUGUUUGUAAAUGCGUGUGGCCAAAUCCUCUCCAGACUUGUGGGCUUAACUCUGGGCGUUAGCAGAGCUCCGGACAGGUACAAUUGGGGACCAUCGUGUGUCCCAGUAUUUAAGAAUAUAAAUCAGCCUACCAACGGUUAAAUAAAAUAUGCUCUGUCUUCUUACUUUUUUUUUUUAAUCUUUAUUUAUUUUUGAGAGAGAGAGAGAGUGCACACUCGCGUGAGCAGGGGAGGGGCAGGGGGAGGGUAUAGAGGAUUCAAAGUAGGCUCUGUGCUGACAGCAUGGAACCGGCUUGGGAUUCUCUCUCUCCCCCUCUCUGCCCCUUACCUGUGCUCGCUCUCUCUCUCUCUCUCAAAAUAAAUAUAAAUAAACUUAAAAAAAAAAAAACCCACACGUUCAUAAGGACAACUGAAAAACGUGUAAAGCUGUGAUUUGUACAUGACCAAAGUUUGGCAGCUGUCCCAAAGCGGCCGCAUUAACUAUUACUACACGUGCUUAAAUGUUCCUUUGUUCUGUUUGAAUGACUAACAAAAUGAAGGCGCAUAAUUUGUAAUUAUUUCACGUUUAUUUCCUUAAAUUUUUGUCUUCGGCUCAGCAUGGUCACGAAUUCUGUCGUUGUUGCAAACGUGUUCACAUAAGUUUGUUCUGUCGACGGCAGUGAGCUCAAGGAUUCAAAAAAUCCACAGUACGACCCACAGACCUUCAUGUCUUGCAGACGAUGGAGAAACCGAGGUGGCUCCAAAUCAGCUUUCUGCUGCUGCUUCCGGAUCUGAUACCAGCUUGGACGGUGGCCAUGGUAACCUGUGUUUCCCCAGCUCUCCAGGGGUUUAUGUUUAGCGAGUGAUGAUGUAUCCUACUAACAGCAGGCUCUGGCUUAAAGUCCUACCUGCAUAACUUCUGGAACCCAAGCCCUCCCUUUCCCUGGAAGGUAAAGGUCCCAGGAGGGUUCAAAGGGUCCCCUUGGUGGGAGAUAGUUUUGCACACAGCUGCCGCUCUGGAGUCCUUUGCUCCUGUCCUGCUGGUGAAGGGACCUCGAGAUUCACCACUUCCACACUGAUGUCUCUCUUGCUGUCUUCCUCCACGGUCCCAUGCCACCUGAUGGGAAGAGGAGGCAGCCCCCUCCCCCAAGAGUAACGGCUUAUACUCCGCGACCAAAUGUAGGUAAUUCUUACUCUUUCCUCAGGAUUACAAGCCCACGUUUCACUUACUCCCUUUCUUUCAAUGUCCCCUGUGCCUCAAGACUUUAGAACAAAGUCCAGGGGAUAUGUGGAAAGACAACAUGUAUGGAAGCACCCAGCAUUGCGCCCGAAAUUGUCCCUCUCCCCUGACAAUUGGCCCCCGUCUCUACAUUAAGCUCAAGCACUUCACCAGGGCCUCGAUGGAGAAUGGGGGUGAGGGCUGGUUGGAUGUGGCCUCUGCCGUCUCUUUGCGGUGGUGGUUUCUCUAUGGCAGAAUUGAACAUGUGCCCCAUUUUUCCUGGACGAGCAUGCGUCCCAUUAUUCCUGGAUGAGCAUGCGUCCCAUUAUUCCUGGAUGAGCAUGCGUCCCAUUAUUCCUGGAUGAGCAUGCGUCCCAUUAUUCCUGGGUGAGCAUGCGUCCCAUUAUUCCUGGAUGAGCAUGCGUCCCAUUAUUCCUGGAUGAGCAUGCGUCCCAUUAUUCCUGGAUGAGCAUGCGUCCCAUUAUUCCUGGAUGAGCAUGCGUCCCAUUAUUCCUGGAUGAGUUGGAGUUCCUCCAUCCUCUGCUAAACAGGCUUGGGUGUUCUUUGACACAUAUUUGAUACCGGGAGUGCCAUUACAGAAACAAACCCCAAGGGACAUGGGAGUAGAGGUGUAGAGAGGCAUCUGGUGAAACAAAUGUCAGCUGUCAGUCAGACUCACCCGAUGUGGCAGACAGCCCCUGAAUGGCCCCCAGAAAAUCCCACCUCCUGGUUGUCACGCCUCUGUGUACUUCCCUCCCAUGAUGAAUGGGGCUGACCUGUGUGACCGAAAGAAUAUUAUGGGAAUGACCGAGCGUGACCUCUGAAGCUGGGUCUUGGAAGACAUUGAGGCUUCUUCUGCCUUGUUCUCUUGGAUAAGUUCCUCUGGGAAGCCAGCUGUCAACUGCUGAAGCCAUUGGUGGACAGAUCUACGGACGGGUGUGAGGAACAAGUUCUACUGCUGGCAACGACCCGCCAGCGUGUGACAGCAGAGCCAUCUUAGAAGGAGACCCUCCCACCCCAGUGAAGCAGUCAGAGGACUAUAGCCUCUGCUGACAUUUUAACGACAAUCUCAGGAGAGACACUAAACCGGAACCAUCCAGCUAAUUCACUCUUGGAUUCCUGACCCACAGAAACUGCAACAUAAGAAAUGCCAUUGCUGUUUUAAGCGGCUACGCGUAGGCUAAUUUGUUACACAGCAGCAGAUGCCUAAUACAUCUGCCGUAGGUCACAGGGACUUGGGAGUCAGUCCGGACUCAGGUACAGGUCACACUUCCCAGAGUUUUCAUCCGACACUGCUGCCUAUCUGCCUGUUUCUCCCCGUGCUGCCUCUGUUGACGUGCAGGCUCUAACGGGGGCACUUGGUCCCUUACGUGCCUGCGACUUGCUUCAUGGCGGGAGUCCAGGCUUGGAGCUUCACUUCACACUGGCGCAGUGUGGAAGCUGGAAUACUCCCUCACGACGGCCCUCGGACUGUGAAUAGACACGAAGGGCGAUGCUGAGUCAGGCAGCAGGCUGGCAGGAGGGCACACGUCAGCGGGCCGGCUUCCAGAGCCCCGGCUUGCUGCACUCCCAGCCGCCUCCUCCUGAAGCUUCACCUCCCAUGGUGAUUCCGCAUGGCAGUCACCUCCGAUGCACACAGAGCCUGGUCCCACAGGCACGUAUGAGAGACCGAGAACUCUGAAUUUCAAACCAGAGAAGUCCGGGGUUGCCACAUUUUGCCCCGACUCAGCAGAGCCACCCUAUGCUAGAAACCCUACUCGAAGAGCUUGGAGCGCACAGUGCUUGGCACAUAUUCAGCCAACGAGUAACUGAGGGGCCGCGCUCUGACACCCUCUGCCCUGUUCAGAGAACCUCGGGGAGGGGAUGGCACCGUGGGGCUCACAUUCCAGAGGGACAUGGGAACGUUGGAGCAGGCGUGGGCGUGAUUGGUGAGGCUGGUGGCACGUGAGGGCCCUCACUCUGCGGGGGAGGCCCGCAGGCACGUCGUAGUCUGGAAAUCGUCCACGGGCCCUCUUGUGCCCACUCAGGAUCUAAGGUCUGCGAAGGGCGGGAGGGUCUUUGUGAGACACCUGUCAUGAAGGAAGAUGUGUCAUCGAUGCUGAGGCACAACCACGGCCCUUGGGGAGGAGAUGAGCUGCCUGGUCCAGGAGUCGCCUGGUCCCGGCCAGAUGGGGAGGAUGAGGGUAGGAAGACCAGUCGGCGGACUAGUCUGGUCGGUGGACCACACUCCGUGAAGUCCUUCGGGGGCUGCAGUCUUGUGCGUCCCCCAUGAGGAACAUCAAUGGGCUGGGUGCAGGGAAGUCCUGCCCUCGGAUGUCCUGCCCAGGGCCUCCUGGUGUGUGGCCUGCCUAUGCUUGAUACCAACGGCGUGUUGGCCUUGACCGACGGUCCCUGGUUCUUCAGUGCUUUUGUGGACAGCAGGGAAAACACAUGUCUGCUCCGAAGAGUGGAUGAAUCACCAGCCCCAGGGAACGUGGCAUAUUCUCUCUGUCACUGAGUCUGUGAACCAGGCCCAGGGUCUCCCUUCCUCUGCUGUUUUUAAUUAGGGAAACAGAGCAGCCCUUGAUGGUGGGGACCCACGGAGGGGAUGCCUCGGGCAGCGGGGUUGCGGAGGGGCCGGAGGGCCGUGGCUUCUGCUCGAUGCCCAGCCUCCAGCCCUCUGUCUCCAGGACCCCUCCUGGGUGGCCAGUGUCCACGUCUCUCGCCCCCUUUGAGCCAGGAUCCUAGUGAUAAAUCUGUUCCCCCCCCUGCCCCCCCGUCAGCAACAGAACAAAUGCGUUCUCUCCAGCCUGCUGCUCACUCUCAGGGACCAGAGCCUCCCCAAACCCAACCAGCUCAUUCAUGUGGACAACAUCCAGGCUGGUGGGAACUGGAGAAGCUGGCGUCUCCCCCUCUCCCUGCGCUCCCACGCCCCUCCGUGCUUUCCCUUGAAGUCCCAAAUGGGGGCACAAGCACAUUCUUUCCUGGGGCAGCCGCUCUGCUAACUUCUAGCACGUGCUCUGAGCUCAUAAAAUCCGAGCAAAGUGAGGAAAAUGCAGGCGUCAGGCCUGCGGGGACCCGAAGCUCUGGGGACCCCUGGUUUGCUUUUUUCCUUUCCGUGUGCGUCGGAUGAGCCGGCUCAUCUUGCAGAGCCUUGGCCAGCCCUGGCUCUUCCGUAAAGGAAGGUAGAACCUUAAAGCGGUGGCCGGGGGUCCCCUCAGGCUGGGAAAAUAUUUAAAGCUGGGGGCGGUGGGGACAGGCCACUGUCCCGGGCGCUCCAAGAGAAAUGCAGAUUACUGAGCCAAACGUGAGAGCAGGUGCACAUUCGUCAUCCAGGCAAAGCUCUGAACACAACGGUGAAAUCAAGUCGGGGCUGGGUCCCGCCGCCGCACUGAAGGCUGGAGAGGAACUAUUCUGGAACUGGGAGCCUGCUCUUUCCCCGGCUGGCGGCAGGAACCUGUGGUCCGUGGCUGAAGUUGCUCUGUCUAGAUGCCCCCCACUCAGUGGCCAGUUUCUUUCCACAGUGGGCACUGGUUGCCCUUGUUGUGAAAAUAGCCCCUCUUCUGACUUCACUGGGCAGGAGUCCAUUCACAGGAAGCGAUCCUUCUGUCUUGUGGGCACCCCCCUGCGGCUGCCCGUUCACCCUUGACCUCGCCCCUUCCUCCAAAGUCACAAUUAGAGGUGGGAAAAAUACUCGACAGACGUGAAAACGAUAGGCUUAGCAGGAGCCUGAGGAAUCGGUAGGGAAAGACUGAAUUUAGUUUGCUUUUACGUUGGAAUGGAUCGUUCAUUUUCUUGGUUCAAAAAUCAACACUUGAAAAAGCUAGACUUCUACCCUUGCUCCCUUCAACCCAACCCAAGUAGUUUCUUGGGCAUUUUUAUCAUGCCUCUGUGUGUGUGUGUGUGUGUGUGUGCAUGCGGACGACCAUUUUCUUUUUCUUUCCUCCUUUCACAGAUAAGGAAGUACAGGGGCGCCAGGGUGGCUCAGUCGGUGAAGCGUCCUACUUCGGCUCAGGUCAUGAUCUCACGGCUCGUGAGUUCGAGCCCCACUUUGGGCUCUGUGCCGACAGCUCGGAGCCUGGAGGCUGCUUCGGAUUCUGUGUCUCCCUCUCUCUCUGCCCCUCCCCCUCUCACACUGUCCUCUCUCUCUCUCUCUCUCAAAAAUAAAUAAACAUUAAAAAAAAUUUUUUUUAAAGAAAAGGAAAUACAAGUGGUCAUAAAAGAACGGGAAGGACCCACCAUCUCACUUAGGAAAAGUGUAAAUUGGACCGACAGCAGAAUACCCUUGUGACAAGGCUGACAAAAGCAUUCUACGCAAAUGGGUUUGGACUUUGUUCUCGUCACUUAAUUGUAUAUCUUGGAGAUCUUUCAAAUCAGUGCCUAAAGAGUGUCUCCAUUCAUUUUUACAGCUUGUAUAGUGUCCUAUUUAUGGACACACCAUAAAUUUGUUUAACUAGUUUCCCACUGAUGGACCCUUGGGUUGCUUCCAAGGUUUGGCUACUACAAACAGUGCCACCCAGGACAUUUCCUGUAUGUGCAGGUACGUCUGUGGGACGAAUUCCGGCAAGUAGGACUGUUGGGUCACAAGUGAGUGUGUUUAUGAUAUUUACAAGGCUUUCCGGAUACUCUGAGUGGGGUUGUGUGAUAGGCGCAGCCCCUGGGAAUCGAGGAGAGACCUCUUUCCCCGCAGCCUUGCUGCAGAGACAUCUCAAUGCAGUUUUAAUUUGCAUUUUCUCUCAUUAAAGUGGGCCUGAGCUUCAUUCCGUUCUCUGAGGAGCCGUUGCCUUUCCUUUUCUAUGAGCUGCCUCUGCACCCGUAGCCUUUGCCCAUCUAAACAAAAAUUGCAUUGUUGGCUUGAUCUUUUUCCUUAACUGUUUUCUAGGAGCUCCUUUUAUGUUAAGGAAAGAUUAGCUCUCUGUGACAGGGCUUGCAAAUAUUUACCCCAUGUUCUUGUCUUUUGAUUUUGCUUAUGUUGUGUGUGUAUGUAUACGUUUUUUAAAAAUUAGGUGGUAGAAUACUGCAAUGUCUUUUUAUUUUUUAACGGAUUCUGAUAAAAGAGAACCAUACUCCACGGUUCUAGAGGAAUUUGACGUGUUUUCUUCUAAGUACUUUUAUAUCUUUGUGCUUUUAUAUCUAAGUACUUUAUAUCUUUGAUCCCUUUUUAAAAUUUUUUUAAUGUUUGUUAUUUAUUAUUGAGAGAGAGAGAGAGAGAGAGCACAAGCAGGGGAGGGUUAGGGAGAGGGAGACACAGAAUCUGAAGCAGGCUCCAGGCUCCAAGCUGUCAGCACAAAGCCCAAUGUGGGCCUGGAACUCACGAACCACAUGAUCAUGACCUGAGCCCAUAUCGGACGCUUAAUUGACUGAGCCGCCCAGGCAGCCCUCUUUGAUCCCUUUAGAGUUGAUGCUGUGGCAAAAUAUGAGGUAUGAUAUGGUAUCCUUAACUCUUUUCCAAUCAUCUUGACAUCAUUUAUUGGCCUAUUCCCCAAUGAUUAGGCCUGUCGACUUUGUAAUUUACCGAAUUUCGGACCAGAACCGGGUCGAUUUAUAGUUUACUCCAUUGACUGGGCUGUCCAUUGGCAGGUACAGUGCUGUUGUCAUUAUUGAGCCUCUGUGGUGCACUUUGAUACAUGGGAUGGUUGUUUCUUCUCAUUCCUUCCCUUUUCCCCCUUUGCUCUGUUUUCUUUUCCUUUUUCUUUUCCUGGCCCUUCCUGUUUGCUUCAUUUGCCAUAUGAAUUUUAGAAUCUGCUUAUUUAGUUUAAAAAAAGUUGAUAUUUAUAUCGAAAUCACAUUGUUUAUUAAUUAACAUAAUUGAUAUGAUAGUGUUAAUUGUCACGGGGAUAUUGACAUGAUUACGAAUUUUCCUCUGUUAGAACAUGGCGUGUGUUGCAUUGGUGCUACUCUUCUUUUGCAUUUCUUUAUCUUUCUUUCUUUUUUUUUUGAGAGAGC